rnacentral:lncRNA from 1 species
AGAGAUGCUUUUGAUAUAUAUAUAUAGAUGCACUUAGGAUGAAGAAGGCCAGGCAAAUAUCUAUUCAUAUAUAGUGCGAAAGUCAAUACUGAGCUGUGGUUGUGGAAAAGAGGGGAUUUGCAGCAGAAGGUAAAAGAAAAGAAAAGCAUGGAAAAGAAGGGUUUGGUAAUUAUUAGGAUUUGAAGGAAAGAGGGUAAAAGUAAGGUUUGUUGAGGUGAGAUUCCCUGG